UACGGAGGGUGCGAGCGUUGUCCGGAAUCAUUGGGCGUAAAGGGCGCGUAGGUGGCGGGACAAGCGUGCGGUGAAACGCUCGGGGCUCAACCCCGCGUCGGCCGUGCGGAACUGUUUUGCUUAGAGCACUGUAGAGGCAGGCGGGAAUUCCGGGUGUAGCGGUGGAAUGCGUAGAGAAUCCGGAAGAACACCGGUGGCGAAGG
rnacentral:rRNA from 1 species